CUGGGAGCUGCUCCAGCAAAUUAUCAAAUAUGCAGGGGCAGGUUUGUGAGAAGGUCCAAUCUGUGGGUAACCUGGGAUCCAAUACUCAUGACUGGCAUCUGAGGCACAAGGAACUAUGUCAUGCACCAGGUUUCUUCCUUGCCACAACUUCUGGAGAGGCUGUACCAUGUGGAGGUUACCUGCUCUGAUGCUGGAGUGAAAUGAAAGAGAAAAAAGAAUCUUCCUAUCCCACAUCACAGAUGUCUCUGUAGCUACAGACUCCACUAUCAGAAUAACAAACGGAUUCUCAAGAUUAUACUGC